rnacentral:rRNA from 1 species
UACGAAGGGGGCUAGCGUUGUUCGGAAUUACUGGGCGUAAAGGGCGCGUAGGCGGUGUGUCAAGUCAGGCGUGAAAGCCCCCGGCUCAACCGGGGAACGACGCAUGAAACUGGCAAGCUAGAGUACCGAAGAGGGGGGUGGAAUUCCCGGUGUAGCGGUGAAAUGCGUAGAUAUUAGGAAGAACACCAGUGGCGAAGGCGGCUAACUGGUCCAGCACUGACGCUGAGGUGCGAAAGCGUGGGGAGCAAACAGG